ACAACAUCCCUGGGCAUUCGCACAGCCUUUGACCUCUGGACACAAACCAUUUAGCAGAACUAAAGACACAUCGCAUUGGAAGCUUUCAUCUGGAAAUAUUAAGAUCUGUGCACUGUAACCCCAGUUUUCAGAGUGAGCAAUGUUGAGAUAAAGUGUAUGAGCCAGCCCAGGAUACAAGAUUUGAAAAAUCGGGCAACAGGCAGGUAGGUGAGGGAUGGAGACAAACUCUACCCCAUGUCAAAAUUUUAGCCAAGACAUAGCCAGCCAGUCC
rnacentral:lncRNA from 1 species